UACGGAGGAUCCAAGCGUUGUCCGGAUUUAUUGGGUUUAAAGGGUGCGUAGGCGGGUUAUUAAGUCAGUGGUGAAAGCCGGCAGCUCAACUGAUCGAACUGCCAUUGAAACUGAUAGCCUAGAAUCUAGUAGAGGUAGGCGGAAUGUAUCAUGUAGCGGUGAAAUGCUUAGAUAUGAUACAGAACACCAAUUGCGAAAGCAGCUUACUAUGCUAGUAUUGACGCUGAGGCACGAAAGCGUGGGGAUCAAACAGG
rnacentral:rRNA from 1 species